UCAACGUCAUUUGGCCAUUUUGGGACGUCAACACCUUGCAUUCAAAUUUCUUAAGGAACUAGUUUACCUAGACCGAAAUCCGAGUCUAACUCCCAAACCAGGAACCCGAUUCGAGCCCCGUAUUCUCCCACAAAUCUCCCAUGCCUAGGUGGUCGUGUGUGCCAAGUUUCGUGCCAAUCCGACCCCGUUUGGUGAUUUUGGGGCAUCAACACCUCGAAUUCAAGUUUCUUAAGGAACUAGUUUGUCUAGAGUGAAAUCCGGCUCUAACUCCCAAACCGGGAACCCGAUUUGAGUCCCGUCUUCUCCCAUAUGUCUCUCAUGCCUAGGCGGUCGUGUGUGCCAAGUUUCGUACCAAACCGAUGCCGUUUGGCGAUUUUGGAGUGUCAACACCUCGAAUUCAAAUUUCUUAAGGAACUAGUUUACCUAGACCGAAAUCCGGCUCUAACUCCCAAACCGGGUCUAACUCCCAAACCGGGAACCCGAUUCGAGCCCCGUCUUCUCCCAAAAGUCUCUCAUGCCUAGGUGGUCGUGUGUGCCAAGUUUCGUGCUAUUCCGACGCCGUUUGGGAAUUUUGGGGUAUCAACACCUCGAAUUCAAGUUUCUUAAGCAACUAGUUUGCCUAGACCGAAAUUCGGCUCUAACUCCCAAACCAGAAACCCGAUUCGAGUCCCGUCUUCUCCCAUAAGUCUCUCGUGCCUAGCCUCUAUCCUUUUGGGCUGUGUACAAUUAAUUUAAAAACUAUCUCAUAACAACUUAAAAUUUAAAAUUAACUAACUAAGAACAAAAUAGGACUAAUAAUGCUAAACUACCAAAUAUAUAAAGCCAAAUAAUAACAUAACAACUAACACUACAAAAAUAACAACCCAUCAAAGAUAGCAAGUUCAAUUAAAACAGUGAAGACAACCUAUCAAAGAUAACAACCCAUUAAAGAUAGCAAGUACAAUUGACACAAACAAUCAAAUGAAAUGUGGAAAACAACAAAGCUUACAUAACCAUUAAAUUGUUGAGCAACUGCCUGAACCUCAUCAACUGUAGACAUUAUCACAAAGACAUUUCCUCCCUCAUCAACAAUCAAUAUAUAUAUAUAUAUAUAUAUAUGUAUUUUUUUUUAAUUGAUUGAAGUAGUAAGGUGUAAAUUAAGGAAUUGAUCUAGUAAAUUAGACGCUCAACUUUUAUUACACAUGGCAGAGCCAUAUUAGUGAUGGCUGAUAAAUGUUAAAAACCAAGAUGUACCUUGGAAGGGAGGGUUGGUCCACCUACAAGGGUGAUGGCUGAUAAAUGUUAAAAAGCAACCCAACCAUAUUAGUGACAAUGUGACGUGUUCCCUCCAUGAUUUCCAUUCAAAGUUCCCCAAGUUCCAAUUUUCAAAGACCUAGAAUGCUUCCACAUACCAAAAAAAUAAAAACCACUUGGGAGAAUGUCCAUACAUUUAAUCAAAUAUGAAAAAUGAUGCAGGAACAAACUUUGUUUAAAAUAUAAGUCACAAUGAUAGGUUUUUUUGACAAAAAAUUACAAAUCAGUGUUUUCUUCCAAAAUAAUUACUUAUUCAUGAAAAACUUUAUGACUUUAAUUAUUAAAAUUUAUCACUAAUCUGAGUUUUUUUGUUUUUUUUUUUAAAUUUUUUUUACGAAUAUAAAUUGAACUGUUAUAGGGAAAACAUCAUUUCAGUUGAAUUUAGGAAAAAUCAUUUCACAUUAAUGAAAAACUUUGUUUGAGAUUGAUAUUUUUUUAACUUUACAACUAAAAUGUUAUUUCCCCUAUUGUUAUAUCAUAAGCCUUGGCUUGCUUAUGAGUUUUUUUUACCUUUUUCUCACAAGCCAUGGCUUUCUACCUGUUCUCUAAAUGUUAGCAGUUUUUUUGGGAAUGCAUAAAUGUAUUAAUCUUUCAAAAAAAAUUCAAAAUAAAAAAAAAUUAAAAAUAAAGAUAGGUGAGAGUUCAUUGGUGGAUCUUUCACCACACAAUAGCAAUAAGUGCAUACAUUAAGGGUAAGAGAAAUUACCUUUAUGUAGUAAUUUAUGCAUCAUUAUCUGCUACUCUCUCUCUCUCUCUCUCUCUCUCUCUCUCUCUCUCUCAAGAAUAUCUUCUACCCAUGACCAGCACUGCAAAUAUAUAAUUAUAUUUUUUUUACCGAAAUUACUGAUAUGAAAGAAAAUAUUUGUAGUAACUUACCAAAGAGUUACUAGUUCCAUCAAAGCUUCUAUGCUGAUCAGGAGAAUAAUCACAUGCAAGCUCAGUAGUCAUCCACACCAGCACACAUGAGUCUUUGGUACUCCACAAAAUGAAUAAUAUCGAAAUAAACAAAAAUAAAAUAAAAUAAAACAGACAUAAAGACAUGGCAUCAAACACUUACAGAAUCUAUAGAUAGAUUUCUGUAACUUAA